ACAAGUUUGCAAAAACUUUUGAUUGUGUGUGAACUGUUAUACUGUAGAACCGUGUGUGCGUUGGUUGCGCAUGGUGUUGGCCUUUGGGUCAUGCACCGCACUGAUGCACACCGGAAUCCAACUUGAAGCAACUUUGAAACUGAUUGACUGAAGUAAUAAAGAGUAAACCUAGA
rnacentral:misc_RNA from 1 species